UUCGCCGUUUGACGGCUCAUAUAAAUAUCGCGUAAUUCGCGAUCUCGCGCUUUUGCGACUCGAGCAGGGGACGGGGUAUGUCCUGUCAUUUUAACGUUGGAAAAGUUCGCAACCCUGCUUUCGAAUCGAUUGUGACUUUUUCUGCAUAUUCUAAUCUUUGCUGGCAAGUAAUAACAGGAUCUCUUAGAAUAUAAAACGACGAGAAACGGCAUGAAGGAUCGUUCAUUGUUUCAUCGGAUUUCUUUACUAAGAAUGCGGCGAAUACGAGAUGGUCGGCUCGAAAUGAAUGGCGUAGCGACUUAUUGAAUUGAUACUGUACACACCUACAUGUCACAUCUACAUGUGACAAAGUAAGCAAUGGGAAGAGAAGAGAGACGGGAAGCAGGCUUGACAAUUCUGUGAGGAGGAGGAGGAAAAGAAGGAGGAGGCUUAGGAAAAACAAUGAGUUUUGAUGGACCAAGUUUGCGAACUAUGUAGCUAUGUAGUUGAUAACUCACUGUUGAUAACUUCACUGCUGCGCAUCAGUCGGUGAGUGACAAAGAUUUUAUCAGGUAACGAAUUUAUGAAAAAUGUAGCAUCCAUCAUUAUAUUAGAAAUAAAUAUAAUA